GGACCAAGGAGUCUAGCAUGUGCGCGAGUCAUUGGGACUUAAUAAACCUAAAGGCGAAAUGAAAGUAAAGGCGCGCCUUGCGCGUGCUUAGGGAGGAUGGGUCGUGCUACGGUGCGGCCCCGCACUCCCGAGGCGUCUCGUGCUCAUUGCGAGUUGAGGCGCACUCAGAGCGUACACGCUGGGACCC
rnacentral:rRNA from 1 species